rnacentral:rRNA from 1 species
UACAGAGGGUGCGAGCGUUAAUCGGAAUUACUGGGCGUAAAGCGUGCGUAGACGGUUAUUUAAGUCGGGUGUGAAAGCCCCGGGCUCAACCUGGGAAUUGCAUUCGAGACUGAAUAGCUAGGGUACGGUAGAGGGAAGUGGAAUUUCCGGUGUAGCGGUGAAAUGCGUAGAUAUCGGAAGGAACAUCAGUGGCGAAAGCGACUUCCUGGACCAGUACCGACGUUCAGGCACGAAAGCGUGGGGGGCAAACAGG